GGGGAUUGGGGGUUCCUUUUUUCUUUUCUUUUUAGCUAGAAUUGUCAUCCUGAGUAAAAUUGGUUUUAUCAGUAAAUGAGAAUAUAAGAAUGGCUCUUGGGUAGGCCACUACCAGCAUCUACUCUUAGGCUCAUUAAUGAGUAAUACCCUAUGUCCCAGGACAUCUACCAUGUUUUCUGAUCAUUGCCUUCUCUUCCCUGCCUGCUUCAGCUCAAACUGGAGUUAUGUUCUAUACACUUUUUGUGUUAAAUAAAUUAGCACUGGGUGUUACAAAUUUUUAAAAACCUUAUUCUCAAGCAUUCCUAUCAGGUAGAAAAAUAUUAAAGAAACAGAUUUUUUUAUUUAUUUCAAAACCAAAAUAUAAUUGAGUAUUGCAGAAUUAAGAAUUGGAGAGAGAUAAAAUAAAAGCUCAUAAAAUAAGAACAUAUAUAUGCUAUUGGGAUUUGGGAUGUUCACAUAUUAAGAAAAUACAGUAUUCUUAAAUGUUUGUUAUUUCUUAGUGCCCUAUUUAAGACCAUGUUAGCAUUUACUAAUUCCUUGGCUCUGUCAGCCAUUCAUUCAAUGGCAGAUCUAUUUGUGUUCCUGACUUGUGUAGCACUGUGCUGGGAUUUCUUCAUAGAGUUGUUCCCCUUUUAUUUCUUGGUUCUUUCUUGCUCAAAACCCAUACAGGAAGAGUGUCUCCUGUAAGUGGUCUGUGACUUACAUUCUGCUAUAUAAUUAGCCUCAAAAUACAAGUUCUUAACCCUUUACCUGAAAUAUUCAGGGUUAGAUAUAUUAUUUAAUUCAAAAUUUUAAGAAAAUGCCAUAUGUACACAUUACAUAAUAAUUCAGAAUCUGACGCAGGACUCACUCAUCAAAUACUUUUAAAUAUCUGUAUAGUCAGAUCCAGUGGGAUAAAUAAUUAAAUGUAGUUUCAUGUCAGCUCUUUUUUGCCACCAAAUGUUUUUGUAAAAUCUUUAUUUUCAAACUUCUUGGAUUUUGAAGAUGGAUAUUGUAGAAUAGACCUGUAGAGUAACAAUUUGGAAGAAUUAUGAAUUUAUUUAAAUGAUUAUCAAGAUCCCUAAUGAAGAUGCAUUAUAGCAGAUACCAACUUGAUUCUUCUGACUGGUGUUAGAUUAUUAGCAUUUAUACUUGAGUGCUUUAACUUUUCCUCUAUGUCCUGAUUUUCAUCCUUUUUAACAGACUAUUGGAAAUGUCUCUAAAGAAAUGCUUGCUAGUUGUGCAGUGCUGAAUCUUCACCCUUCUGAAUCACAUUCCCUAAGCAUGGAUAUCUUUAAGUGUUGACUUUUUUCUUUGUAGGAGUCCUUUCCUUAACUCAAUCAAGUGUCCUAGCUUUCUGACUCUACUUCAAGAGUCAUUAUCAGAAUUUGCCUUUUCAUAAAAUUACUUAUUCUAUUCUUGUGCCUCCUGAAAUAAUAUUUUUUUAAUAAUUUUUGAAUAAGGCAGUUUAAUAUUUAUGAUCAGCAACUUUAAGUAAUAUAAUUGUAUAUUAGUUACUUAUACAUUUUUAAUGUCAUUUAGAAGUUUCAGGAGAAUGUAAGUAGGCUACUAUACUAGUAAAUCUAACACACUGACUUUUAAGUGAUUAAUAAUGCGGAGCUUAUCUUCUUAGUACUUUCAGGUUGUUCUUUUUUAUAAAUUUUAUGUGAAUUUCAUAAAAGUCUUUCUUCCUAGGCCCCUUGUUAUUAGUCUGCUGUGAUUUUGUUCCUAGGUCAAAUUUAUUUUAGAUUUUAUUAAAGUUAGAUUUUAUUUGUGGAAGUUAUGAAACAGAUUGAAUUUUAAAUGAUAGUUUUAAGGUUUCUUAAAAAGCAGUGACACAAUAGUUAUAUGUUUGGUGAGUGCCUGCUAAAUUUCUUGGAAGGCCAAAUAUUUCAAUUGACAGUUUGCUGUUUAUACUUCAAAUCAAACUUUCUUAUCUAGCCAUGAGGUUCUAGUUUAUUGUUCACAUAUUAUUAUAUUGAAUUGAGUUGUGUGGUUUGUCUAAUGAAAUUAAACUGAUCUUGCUUGUUAAUGACAACAUCUUGCAAUUAUCCCAUCAACGACUAUAAUCAGGAAAGUCCUGAUUAUAGGAAGAUGGGAAAGAAAAAUAUGGUGAGGUAUUUUGAUGCCUUGUAAUAUCACGGCUGGGUUAGCAUGGGGACUACCACCUUUAGUCUAGGAAUGAAUAAUUUCCAGUUCAGAUAUCUAGAAAUAUGUCACUUGUAGAAUUUAAGAAAAACUUUGGAAAGAAGAUAAGAUA